CCGCGAAUGCUCUAGAUUAGAGUUGAUCAUGGCUCAGACUUGAACGCUGGCGGCCAAGGCCUAACACAUGCAAGUCGAGCGGAUGAGAAGAGCUUGCUCUUCGAUUCAGCGGCGGACGGGUGAGUAAUGCCUAGGAAUCUGCCUGGUAGUGGGGGACAACGUUUCGAAAGGAACGCUAAUACCGCAUACGUCCUACGGGAGAAAGCAGUGGGACCUUCGGGCCUUGCGCUAUCGGAUGAGCCUAGUGUCGGAUUAGCUAGUUGGUGAGGUAAUGGCUCACCAAGGCGACGAUCCGUAACUGGUCUGAGAGGAUGAUCAGUCACACUGGAACUGAGACACGGUCCAGACUCCUACGGGAGGCAGCAGUGGGGAAUAUUGGACAAUGGGCGAAAGCCUGAUCCAGCCAUGCCGCGUGUGUGAAGAAGGUCUUCGGAUUGUAAAGCACUUUAAGUUGGGAGCGAAGGGUUGUACGUUAAUACCGUGCAAUUUUUUGACGUUUACCCGAUCAGAAUAAGGCACCCGGGCUAACUCUGUUGGCCAGCAGACGCGGGUAAUAACCAGAGGGGUGCAAGCGUUUAAUACGGAAUUACUUGGGCGUUAAAGACGCCGCGUAAGUU
rnacentral:rRNA from 1 species